UAUUUAUUUAUAGGUUACAGACUCUUUGAAUAAUGGAAAUACAACUUGGUAAAGUCCCAAAGGGCAUAGAACCUUCUGAAUUUUCAGCUCUUAUUCCAUUAUGAAGCAUUUGAUACAAGUAAUCAUUUCUCUUUACAGAUAAAAUUUGAUUGGUUGCUGAGUAACCACAAAUAAUUGAGAAAAAUGCUGACAAAUUGACAAUUAUAAUGUGUUCCAUGACAGAACAAAUGUUGUAAAUAUGCAAGGGAAAUUGGUAAAGAAAACACUGAGGAAGAUAGAUUGGCACAAGGAAACAAUAUUGUUGUAUCCAAUAUCGUAAGAUCAAGAUAAAAUUUGAUUGGUUGCUGAGUAACCACAAAUAAUUGAGAAAAAUUCUGACAAAUUGACAAAUAUAAUGUGUUCCAUGACAGAACAAAUGUUGUAAAUAUGCAAGGGAAAUUGGUAAAGAAAACACUGAGGAAGAUAGAUUGGCACAAGGAAACAAUAGGCUUCAAAGCAUGCAUCCUGUUUUAUCAAACUAUUAAUUACAGUCUCGAUGUGAAGUAAACAAUCUUUAAUCGUUGAAAUUAUUGUUUUGAAUAAUUUUUUUUUAAAGCAGAUUUUUUUCUAUGGCAGCAAUAAAAUAAAAUUGAUC